rnacentral:rRNA from 1 species
UACGUAGGGCGCAAGCGUUGUCCGGAAUUAUUGGGCGUAAAGAGCUCGUAGGCGGCCUGUUACGUCUGCUGUGAAAUCCCGGGGCUUAACCCCGGGCGUGCAGUGGAUACGGGCAGGCUGGAGGCAGGCAGGGGAGAACGGAAUUCCCGGAUGUAGCGGUGAAAUGCGCAGAGUAUCGGGAGGAACACCGGUGGCGAAGGCGGUUCUCUGGGCCUGUACUGACGCUGAGGAGCGAAAGCGUGGGAGCGAACAGG